rnacentral:rRNA from 1 species
GAUGAACGCUGACGGCGUGCCUAAUACAUGCAAGUCGAGCGAACAGACGAGGAGCUUGCUCCUCUGACGUUAGCGGCGGACGGGUGAGUAACACGUGGAUAACCUACCUAUAAGACUGGGAUAACUUCGGGAAACCGGAGCUAAUACCGGAUAAUAUAUUGAACCGCAUGGUUCAAUAGUGAAAGACGGUUUUGCUGUCACUUAUAGAUGGAUCCGCGCCGCAUUAGCUAGUUGGUAAGGUAACGGCUUACCAAGGCAACGAUGCGUAGCCGACCUGAGAGGGUGAUCGGCCACACUGGAACUGAGACACGGUCCAGACUCCUACGGGAGGCAGCAGUAGGGAAUCUUCCGCAAUGGGCGAAAGCCUGACGGAGCAACGCCGCGUGAGUGAUGAAGGUCUUCGGAUCGUAAAACUCUGUUAUUAGGGAAGAACAAAUGUGUAAGUAACUAUGCACGUCUUGACGGUACCUAAUCAGAAAGCCACGGCUAACUACGUG